rnacentral:rRNA from 1 species
GACGAACGCUGGCGGCGUGCUUAACACAUGCAAGUCGAACGGGCUCUGUCUGGCUGUGUGCUGGGUGGGGUUAGUGGCGAACGGGUGAGUAAUACGUGAGUAACCUGCCCUCUUCUUUGGGAUAAGCCUUGGAAACGGGGUCUAAUACUGGAUAUUCCUGUCUGGUCGCAUGGCUGGGUGGGGAAAGUUUUUUUCGGUGGGGGAUGGGCUCGCGGCCUAUCAGCUUGUUGGUGGGGUGAUGGCCUACCAAGGCGUCGACGGGUAGCCGGCCUGAGAGGGUGAACGGGCAAACUGGGACUGAGAUACGGCCCAGACUGCUACGGGAGGCAGCAGUGGGGGAUAUUGCACAAUGGGCGCAAGCCUGAUGCAGCGACGCCGCGUGGGGGAUGACGGCUUUGGGGUUGUAAACCUCUUUCGUCGGGGGACAAGGCGCUGCUUGGUGGUGGGGUUGAGGGUACCAGGUGAAGAAGCGCCGGCUAACUACGUG